rnacentral:rRNA from 1 species
UGGGGAAUUUUGGACAAUGGGCGAAAGCCUGAUCCAGCAAUGCCGCGUGUGUGAAGAAGGCCUUCGGGUUGUAAAGCACUUUUGUCCGGAAAGAAAUCCUUGGCUCUAAUACAGUCGGGGGAUGACGGUACCGGAAGAAUAAGCACCGGCUAACUACGUGCCAGCAGCCGCGGUAAUACGUAGGGUGCAAGCGUUAAUCGGAAUUACUGGGCGUAAAGCGUGCGCAGGCGGUUUGCUAAGACCGAUGUGAAAUCCCCGGGCUCAACUGGGAACUGCAUUGGUGACUGGCAGGCUAGAGUAUGGCAGAGGGGGUAGAAUUCCACGUGUAGCAGUGAAAUGCGUAGAGAUGUGGAGGAAUACCGAUGGCGAAGGCAGCCCCCUGGGCCAAUACUGACGCUCAUGCACGAAAGCGUGGGGAGCAAACAGGAUUAGAUACCCUGGUAGUCCACGCCCUAAACGAUGUCAACUAGUUGUUGGGGAUUCAUUUCCUUAGUAACGUAGCUAACGCGUGAAGUUGACCGCCUGGGGAGUACGGUCG